AACGAACGCUGGCGGCAUGCCUAACACAUGCAAGUCGAACGAGACCUUCGGGUCUAGUGGCGCACGGGUGCGUAACGCGUGGGAACCUGCCUUUAGGUUCGGAAUAACUCAGAGAAAUUUGAGCUAAUACCGGAUAAUGUCUUCGGACCAAAGAUUUAUCGCCUUUAGAUGGGCCCGCGUAAGAUUAGCUAGUUGGUGGGUAAAGGCCUACCAAGGCGACGAUCUUUAGCUGGUCUGAGAGGAUGAUCAGCCACACUGGGACUGAGACACGGCCCAGACUCCUACGGGAGGCAGCAGUGGGGAAUAUUGGACAAUGGGCGAAAGCCUGAUCCAGCAAUGCCGCGUGAGUGAUGAAGGCCUUAGGGUUGUAAAGCUCUUUUACCCGAGAUGAUAAUGACAGUAUCGGGAGAAUAAGCUCCGGCUAACUCCGUGCCAGCAGCCGCGGUAAU
rnacentral:rRNA from 1 species